GGCGAUCUUGCUGUGACAUUGUUCACUUCAUUGAUUUCCAGGGUUGAUUUGCUGAUCUUGCUGGCUAGGCAGAUCUUGUGGUGCCAUGUGUGUCCUGCUGAAGGUGCCCUGUUCAAAGAGGAUGACCUUCCCAGAAUACAGGAAAACUGGUCUUCAGUUGAGAGUAUAAGAAAAGUUGCCACUCGAACCUAGAAGUUCUCAAAAUGGCUGGCAUCACUUAGAUAGCUGAAAGGGCUUCUAAAUGUUUUAGUGAAAGUUAAUU
rnacentral:snRNA from 1 species